GUCUUAUUGAUAUUAAUUCUAAGUCGAUCUGCCCAGUGAAUAUUUAAAUGGCUGCAGUAUACCUGACUGUGCAAAGGUAGCAUAAUAAUUUGGUUUUUAAUUGAAAUCUGGAAUGAAUGGAUUAAUGAAAUAUAUACUGUCUCAUAUUUAUUUAAUUAAUUUAAAAUUUUAAUAAAAAUGUUAAAAUUAUUUUAUGGGACGAUAAGACCCUAUAGAAUUUUAUAUUAAUUUUUUUUUAUAUAAAAUAUAAAAUUAAAAUUAAUAUUUAAUUGGGAGAAUUAUUAAAUUUAUUAAAUUUUAAUAUUUAUUUACUUUAAUUUAAGAAAAUUUUUUGAUCUUUAAUUUAAAAUCAUUAGAAUAAAUUACCUUAGGGAUAACAGCGUUAUAUUUUUUUAUAGGUCAUAUAGAAAAAAAUAAUUGCGACCUCGAUGUUGAAUUAAGAUAAAUUUUAAAUGCAGGAGUUUAAUGAUUAAGUCUGUUCGACUUUUAAAAUCUUACAUGAUUUGAGUUCAAAUCGACGUAAGU
rnacentral:rRNA from 1 species